GAAACCUGCUUUUCAUCUUAGAAAAUCUCAACAUUCUCUUGUGAAAUAACCAUUUGCAGCACCACAAUUCAACUGGCCAUAAGUUCUACAGAAAGGAAGAAA